rfam:Triticum aestivum genome assembly, contig: Triticum_aestivum_CS42_TGACv1_scaffold_569423_7AS
CUUGUACUCCCUCCGUCCGAAAAUACUUGUCAUUGAAAUGGAUGUAUCUAGAUGUAUUUUAGUUCUAGACACAUCCAUUUUGAUGACAAGUAAUUCCCAACGGAGGGAGUACUUG